rnacentral:rRNA from 1 species
AUGCACGCUGGCGGCGUGCCUAAUACCUGCAAGUCGCGCGAACAGACGAGGAGCUUGCUCCUCUGACGUUAGCGGCGGACGGGUGAGUAACACGUGGAUAACCUACCUAUAAGACUGGGAUAACUACGGGAAACCGGAGCUAAUACCGGAUAAUAUAUUGAACCGCAUGGUUCAAUAGUGAAAGACGGUUUUGCUGUCACUUAUAGAUGGAUCCGCGCCGCAUUAGCUAGUUGGUAAGGUAACGGCUUACCAAGGCAACGAUGCGUAGCCGACCUGAGAGGGUGAUCGGCCACACUGGAACUGAGACACGGUCCAGACUCCUACGGGAGGCAGCAGUAGGGAAUCUUCCGCAAUGGGCGAAAGCCUGACGGAGCAACGCCGCGUGAGUGAUGAAGGUCUUCGGAUCGUAAAACUCUGUUAUUAGGGAAGAACAAAUGUGUAAGUAACUAUGCACGUCUUGACGGUACCUAAUCAGAAAGCCACGGCUAACUACGUG